GGGUUGUUAGCUCAAUUGGUAGAGCAGCUGACUCUUAAUCAGUAGGUUCCCGGUUCGAGUCCGGGACGACCCACCA
rnacentral:tRNA from 1 species